AACGUAGGAGACAAACGUUAUCCGGAGUUACUGGGCGUAAAGGGCGUGUAGGCGGUUUGUUAAGUCUGGCGUGAAAGCUCUCGGCUAAACCGGGAGAGGUCGUUGGAUACUGGCGAACUAGAGGAUGGUAGAGGCGUGUGGAAUUCCGGGUGUAGUGGUGAAAUGCGUAGAGAUCCGGAGGAACACCAGCGGCGAAGGCGGCAUCCUGGACUGGUCCUGACACUCAGGAGCGAAAGCGUGGGGAGCGAGUCCGG
rnacentral:rRNA from 1 species